rnacentral:rRNA from 1 species
GGGGAAUUUUGGACAAUGGGCGCAAGCCUGAUCCAGCAAUGCCGCGUGAGUGAAGAAGGCCUUCGGGUUGUAAAGCUCUUUUGUCAGGGAAGAAACGGCUGUGGCUAAUAUCCACGGCUAAUGACGGUACCUGAAGAAUAAGCACCGGCUAACUACGUGCCAGCAGCCGCGGUAAUACGUAGGGUGCAAGCGUUAAUCGGAAUUACUGGGCGUAAAGCGUGCGCAGGCGGUUUUGUAAGUCUGUCGUGAAAUCCCCGGGCUCAACCUGGGAAUUGCGAUGGAGACUGCAAGGCUAGAAUCUGGCAGAGGGGGGUAGAAUUCCACGUGUAGCAGUGAAAUGCGUAGAGAUGUGGAGGAACACCGAUGGCGAAGGCAGCCCCCUGGGUCAAGAUUGACGCUCAUGCACGAAAGCGUGGGGAGCAAACAGGAUUAGAUACCCUGGUAGUCCACGCCCUAAACGAUGUCUACUAGUUGUCGGGUUUUAAUUAACUUGGUAACGCAGCUAACGCGUGAAGUAGACCGCCUGGGGAGUACGGUCGCAAGAUUA